CCUACGGGAGGCAGCAGUGGGGAAUAUUGGGCAAUGGGCGCAAGCCUGACCCAGCAACGCCGCGUGAAGGAAGAUGGCUUUCGGGUUGUAAACUUCUUUUGUCCGGGAAGAGUAGAAGACGGUACCUGACGAAUAAGCCACGGCUAACUACGUGCCAGCAGCCGCGGUAGUACGUAGGUGGCAAGCGUUGUCCGGAUUUACUGGGUGUAAAGGGCGUGUAGCCGGGUUGACAAGUCAGAUGUGAAAUCCUGCGGCUUAACCGCAGAACUGCAUUUGAAACUGUUGAUCUUGAGUACUGGAGAGGCAGAUGGAAUUCCUAGUGUAGCGGUGAAAUGCGUAGAUAUUAGGAGGAACACCAGUGGCGAAGGCGGUCUGCUGGACAGCAACUGACGGUGAGGCGCGAAAGCGUGGGGAGCAAACAGGAUUAGAUACCCGAGUAGUC
rnacentral:rRNA from 1 species